AACAAGGACAGAUGUGGGAUCCAUCAAGCACUGUGGAUUAACUUCUCAAGCAAGGAGGAGACUUGACCAGACACAGUCGCUUGGCAAGAAUCAAGUGCCCACUAUAAAUUUGGCCCUUCCAUGCUCAAGCUUCAAAAACAUCUCUAACCAAAGCCAGCCUCUCUCUCUUUUCUCCCACUCUCUCUCUCUCGCGUAGAAGGUUUCGUUCUCACCAAGGUACCACUGCACACUUUUUUCGGGGGUAAGUGACACCACAGGUGUCAUAAUUUUCGUAUUGCACUCAUGUCAUAACUUGUUUUUCUAUCACUUAAGUGUCAUGACUUCUGAAACACAAAUAAUGAGUGCCCUCACUUUUCAAAAAGCGUUCACCCCAAUGAAAUUUGUGGUGAACGUUAUUUAGAAGUCAGGAAACUCUAGUGAUCUAAAAAAUAAAAGUCAUGACACUUAAGUGAUGAAAAAAUAAAGUCACGGCGCUCAGUGAGCGCGAGCGCCGUCCGACAAGUUAUGGCAUAAGUGAAACGGAAAGUUAUGGCACCUGUGGUAUCCUUAUCCCCAGUUUUUUUCAUUUUAGUCCAUGCCUAACUUUUUUUGCUACUAGAUUUGUCUCUUCGCUGCCUCAUUAGGCUCCAAGACAAAAGCAUGGAUUAAGUGCAGGGACUAAGUAGCAUAAACAGUAGGUGAGCGACUAAAAUGAAAAUAAAAAUAAAAAUAGAAAACGUAGUACGGGGAUGAAUACAUAUUGCACUUCUUGUGUCACCUCGUUCUACUUUUUUUUUUCCUCCUCUUUACUUAGAAUAGGGCAAAAACAGAAACUAGUUUUCGCCCCCAGGGAAAACAAGAUUGAAAAGAACAAGAAAUCUCCAUCUUGUUUUUCCUAUGCCAAAAACUAGUUUUUCUUUUUGUCCUACUCCAUGCACGAAUCACCUAAAUGCUCCGGUCUAGCCUAAAAGCUCGACUGUCUAGCGGAAAUAGCACCGAUCUUUUCGCCACCUGAAAACCGCUCUAACCUGAAGGACCAGUCCUCCAAUCUAUCUCAAAGAGCUCAGAAACCCGUUCAGAUGCCUCUUCUUUCAUUUGAAGGCCGAUUUAGUUCGUUCCUUAGAGGAGAAGGUAGAUGGAGACGUCUGGAACUUCAAAUUUUACUGGUGAACAAGCAGAUAAGGCCUGGGAUCUGAACAACUUCUUUUGCAGAAGUGAGAAAAAAAAAAGGAUUUUGCAAGAGGUAGGACACUGUUCUAAUUGUCACUUUGGAGAUAUGUUGUUUAGACAAAUUAAGCAUGGAAGCGAAGAUCUUGUCCUCAUAAGAAACAGAACACAGAGGAUCUUUCUGAAAUUGUAUCAUAUUUUGUUCCUGUUUAGACUAGUAAGAUCUCUUCCCUUUUUUUCGGUAAAUCUCCAUUUAGUCUACCAAAAGAAUAUUUGUUAUUGGCACAGGCAACAGAGUUCAAAGAAAAGGAAACUCCCAUGACAAAGCCACAGAAGAAGAGGGACAAUGUGAAGAUUGAAUCAGGCAACGUAUCCCGUUGGGAAAGCUGGAAUGAUUCGCUUUGAUUGACGAGAUCGACUGCAUCAGCCAGCCGUUGCCACCAAAAUAUUUUACCAUUGAUCCAACCUGGCCAUGUAAUUUACACUUGUUUUCUUCUGGCAUAUGUGAAUCUCGAUGGAAUACACACAACAUGUCAUAGAUGGCAUGAGAUCACUUCAUUUGCUCA